UACGGAGGGUGCGAGCGUUGUCCGGAAUCACUGGGCGUAAAGGGCGCGUAGGCGGUCAGCACAAGUCAGUUGUGAAAUCUCCGGGCUUAACCCGGAAAGGUCAACUGAUACUGUGCGACUAGAGUGCGGAAGGGGCAACUGGAAUUCUUGGUGUAGCGGUGAAAUGCGUAGAUAUCAAGAGGAACACCUGCGGCGAAGGCGGGUUGCUGGGCCGACACUGACGCUGAAGCGCGAAAGCCAGGGGAGCGAACGGG
rnacentral:rRNA from 1 species